rnacentral:misc_RNA from 1 species
UUUUUUUUUUACAAAUUAUCCCCCAUUAUGAUGAGAAAAGUUUAAUAUGAAAGGAAUUUUGCUAAAGUUUUGCAUUUAAAUCACAUGAAUAUGCCAAAAUCACUGAUACAAAUAUGAUUAACAAAUGUGGAAAGCUGACUGAGCAGGGACACAUAACUAUGAACUUGACCAAUUCCAUUUCUGCAAGUUUGCAAGCUCAUCCCUACAAAGAAUACGGCAUUCC